GACGAACGCUGGCGGCGUGCUUAACACAUGCAAGUCGAACGAUGAAGCUGGAGCUUGCUCCAGUGGAUUAGUGGCGAACGGGUGAGUAACACGUGAGCAAUCUGCCCUUGACUCUGGGAUAACUGCGGGACACUGUAGCUAAUACCGGAUACGACACCUUGGGGCAUCCCGGCGUGUGGAAAGAAUUGCGGACAAGGAUGAGAUCGAGGCCUAUCAGCUUGUUGGUGAGGUAAAGGCUCACCAAGGGUACGACGGGUAGCCGGCCUGAGAGGGUGACCGGCCACACUGGAACUGAGACACUGUCCAGACUCCUACAGGAGGCAGCAGUGGGGAAUAUUGCACAAUGGGCGAAAGCCUGAUGCAGCAACGCCGCGUGAGGGAUGACGGCCUUCGGGUUGUAAACCUCUUUUAGCAGGGAAGAAGCGAAAGUGACGGUACCUGCAGAAAAAGCACCGGCUAACUACGUGCCAGCCGCCGCCGUAA
rnacentral:rRNA from 1 species